ACGUCAUUGUAUAGUAGUGGGAACCCAAUGAGUUUUGAUAAAUGUUUCCUGUUUAACAUUCCUGGUAAAGAAAGUUAUGAAUGGAAAGGAUCUUUGUGAUAAAAAUCACACACACACACACACACAAAAUGUAUUACAUGGUUUUAAGUGUUACAUUAUUUUUACUACACAUGACAAACUUUAAAAAAAAAAAAUAAAAAAAAAUGAGACAUCAGAUUUAAAUAGAUACCUUUAGCAGUUAAUAACUGACCAUGUAUUCCUUUUUCUGUUAAUGAAGUGAACUUUGAGAUGCAUAUUCAGAAAUCUAACCAAUCGAGUGAUUUAGUACAUUGUUAAAAUUCUGUAGGAACAUGUUAGUUCAAACACCGUGAUUUCUCAGCAUGUGUGCAAAUGCAUUGUCAGGAGAGUUAUUUAUGAAUUAUAAGAUGUAAGACACUUACAGGAUAAUCAAAAUUUUCAUUUCAUUAUACAUUUUAGUCAUCCAGAGGACUACUCCAGGAUAGGGCAUCGUAGAUUUAUAUAGUUUUGUUAGUUUGGGCAUCUAAGCAUGUCCAGACCUGGUGAAGGGGAGUAUGAACCUCUUGCUGACAGGCCCCUGUUUGGGGAGGCAAGGCCAAGGGAUAGGAUGAUGAAUAUAAUGAUAAUCUUCAUUACAACAUUAUUGGUGUUGAUCACAUCAAUAAGUGCCUUCAUUCCCUGGCCGAGCUUCCUAGACAUUUUCUUCGUGUUCUGCAUAAUUGUCAUUUGCAUAUCACAUCUUACACUGGUAAAGGCAUAUCUUUUAAUGAUAAAUGUUAAUGCAUGAAGGAAGAAAUGGAAGAUUUGAUAGGAUUAUCAUUAGGAUUAUUAUGUCAACACUAUGGAUGUUGUGUGUAAGAUAUUGAUAUAGCCUGUAUUUACUGAGAACCUGUCUCUUGCUAUAGAUUAUAGUCAAUAGGUAGAAAUAGCUUAGGUUUACUUUCUCUCCGUCUGGCAACUGAUGAUAUACUUUAUAUAUUCAAAGCACUUACAGCCACUACCAAAUUACAGUUUCCUUAACCCACUGUUGCUAGUUAAUCACACUGUAUGCUAUUAUUUUCUUUUGUUAAUUAUAUUUGUACAUAGAUGGCUCCACAAGUACUCUGCCACCAAAUCAGUAAGCCUCUGUGUCCUCAGCAGAUUUUUCCAUUGAUAUAGAUGUUGCAGACAUAAAAAGGUAUAUAUGGGCAUAAGUUUUUGAUCAUGAUAUCAUAGGUUUCUUAGAGUUCACAAAUACUAUUGAAGUAUAUAUACUGCACAGCACUGAAAAGUUCAAUAUAAAUACAAAUAUAAAGUAUUAGAUAUAGGUACUUAUGACAAAUGGUACAAAUCAUGAAAAUCAGAAAAACACUUCCAUAGCACUUUUUACCUCACAAAUAGAGGUUAGA